ensembl:misc_RNA 7SK 7SK RNA
GGAUGUGAGGGCGAUCUGGCUGCGACAUCUGUCACCCCAUUGAUCGCCAGGGUUGAUUCGGCUGAUCUGGCUGGCUAGGCAGGUGUCCCCUUCCUCCCUCACCGAUCCAUGUGCGUCCCUCCCGAAGCUGCGCGCUCAGUCGAAGAGGACGACCUUCCCCCCCGAGGAGAGGACCGGUCUUCGGUCAAGGGUAUACGAGUAGCUGCGCUCCCCUGCUAGAACCUCCAAACAAGCUAAAAAAACUCGUUAGUCUGGACACUCAUAAGUCAAGGCCCCACUGUACUUAUAUCUGACAAAUUAGAUCUCAAAGUGAAGGACAUUAAAAGAGAU